UACGUAGGGGCCUAGCGUUGUCCGGAUUUAUUGGGCGUAAAGAGCUCGUAGGCGGUUCGGUAAGUCAGGUGUGAAAUCUCCACGCUCAACGUGGAGGCGCCACCUGAAACUGCCGUGACUCGAGUCCGGUAGGGGAGUGUGGAAUUCCCGGUGUAGCGGUGAAAUGCGCAGAUAUCCGGAGGAACACCGGUGGCGAAGGCGGCUUCCUGGACUGACACUGACGCUGAGGCGCGAAAGCUAGGGGAGCAAACGGG
rnacentral:rRNA from 1 species